rnacentral:rRNA from 1 species
UAGUUUCGAUCAUGGCUCAGCCUUUGACUUAAAAAAAUAGGAAAGUCGUAACAAGGUAACCGUAAGUCGUAACAAGGUAACCGUAAGUCGUAACAAGGUAGCCGUAGAGUUUGAUCAUGGCUCAGCUUUGACUUGAAAAAAUGGAGAAGUCGUAACAAGGUAACCGUAGGUCGUAACAAGGUAACCGUAAGUCGUAACAAGGUAGCA